GCGGGGGUCGCCAAUCCAACAGGGGCAAGGUCUGGUCAACGGCGCAGGGUUCAGGACCCUGUCCCGUAGGGGUUCGUGGGUUCAAAUCCCACCCCCCGCA
rnacentral:tRNA from 3 species